rnacentral:rRNA from 1 species
UACGGGAGGCAGCAGUGGGGAAUAUUGCACAAUGGGCGCAAGCCUGAUGCAGCCAUGCCGCGUGUAUGAAGAAGGCCUUCGGGUUGUAAAGUACUUUCAGUCGUGAGGAAGGUGUUAAGGUUAAUAACCUUAGCAAUUGACGUUAGCGACAGAAGAAGCACCGGCUAACUCCGUGCCAGUAGCCGCGGUAAUACGGAGGGUGCGAGCGUUAAUCGGAAUUACUGGGCGUAAAGGGCACGCAGGCGGUUAAUUAAGUUGGAUGUGAAAUCCCCGGGCUUAACCUGGGAAUGGCAUUCAAGACUGGUUAGCUAGAGUCUUGUAGAGGGGGUAGAAUUCCAUGUGUAGCGGUGAAAUGCGUAGAGAUGUGGAGGAAUACCGGUGGCGAAGGCGGCCCCUGGACAAAGACUGACGCUCAUGUGCGAAAGCGUGGGGAGCAAACAGGGAUUAGAUACC